GAUGAACGCUAGCGGCAGGCUUAAUACAUGCAAGUCGUGGGGCAGCAUGACUGUAGCAAUACAGUUGAUGGCGACCGGCAAACGGGUGCGGAACACGUACACAACCUUCCUUUAAGUGGGGAAUAGCCCAGAGAAAUUUGGAUUAAUACCCCGUAACAUAGUGAAAAGGCAUCUUUUUAUUAUUAUAGCAGCAAUGCGCUUAAUGAUGGGUGUGCGGCUGAUUAGAUAGUUGGCGGGGUAACGGCCCACCAAGUCUGCGAUCAGUAACUGGUGUGAGAGCACGACCAGUCCAACGGGCACUGAGACACGGGCCCGACUCCUACGGGAGGCAGCAGUAAGGAAUAUUGGUAAAUGGACGCAAGUCUGAACCAGCCAUGCCGCGUGGAGGAUGAAGGUCCUCUGGAUUGUAAACUUCUUUUAUAUGGGACGAAAAAAGGUCUUUCUAGAUCAACUGACGGUACCAUAUGAAUAAGCACCGGCUAACUCCGUGCCAGCCGCCGCCGUAACAC
rnacentral:rRNA from 1 species